rnacentral:rRNA from 1 species
GAUGAACGCUGGCGGCGUGCCUAAUACAUGCAAGUCGAGCGAACAGAUAAGGAGCUUGCUCCUUUGACGUUAGCGGCGGACGGGUGAGUAACACGUGGAUAACCUACCUAUAAGACUGGGAUAACUUCGGGAAACCGGAGCUAAUACCGGAUAACAUAUUGAACCGCAUGGUUCAAUAGUGAAAGGCGGCUUUGCUGUCACUUAUAGAUGGAUCCGCGCCGUAUUAGCUAGUUGGUAAGGUAACGGCUUACCAAGGCAACGAUACGUAGCCGACCUGAGAGGGUGAUCGGCCACACUGGAACUGAGACACGGUCCAGACUCCUACGAGAGGCAGCAGUAGGGAAUCUUCCGCAAUGGGCGAAAGCCUGACGGAGCAACGCCGCGUGAGUGAUGAAGGUCUUCGGAUCGUAAAACUCUGUUAUCAGGGAAGAACAAAUGUGUAAGUAACUGUGCACAUCUUGACGGUACCUGAUCAGAAAGCCACGACUAACUACGUG